rnacentral:rRNA from 1 species
ACGCUCGACACCUACGGGAGGCGGCAGUGGGGAAUAUUGCACAAUGGGGGAAACCCUGAUGCAGCGACGCCGCGUGAAGGAAGAAGUAUUUCGGUAUGUAAACUUCUAUCAGCAGGGAAGAAGAAAGUGACGGUACCUGACUAAGAAGCCCCGGCUAACUACGUGCCAACAGCCGCGGUAAUCUGAGCGGGCUGGCAAGGC